rnacentral:rRNA from 1 species
UACGGAGGGAGCAAGCGUUACUCGGAAUUAUUGGGCGUAAAGGGCGCGUAGGCGAUCUGACAAGUCUGGUGUGAAAGCCCACAUGUUAACUGUGGAAGUGCAUUAGAAACUGUUGGAUUUGAGUUCAGGAGAGGAAGGCAGAAUUCCCGGUGUAGCGGUGAAAUGCGUAGAGAUCCGGAGGAACACCAGUGGCGAAGGCGACACGCUGGGCCGUACCUGACACUGAUGCGCGACAGCAUGGGGAGCAAACAGG